rnacentral:rRNA from 1 species
AUUGAACGCUGGCGGCACGCUUUACACAUGCAAGUCGAACGGUAACAGGGUGCUUGCACCGCUGACGAGUGGCGAACGGGUGAGUAAUGCGUCGGAACGUGCCGAGUAGUGGGGGAUAACGCAGCGAAAGUUGUGCUAAUACCGCAUACGUACUGAGGUAGAAAGUGGGGGACCUUCGGGCCUCACGCUAUUCGAGCGGCCGACGUCUGAUUAGCUAGUAGGUGAGGUAAAGGCUCACCUAGGCGACGAUCAGUAGCGGGUCUGAGGGGAUGGUCCGCCACACUGGGACGGAGACACGGCCCAGACUCCUACGGGAGGCAGCAGUGGGGAAUUUUGGACAAUGGGCGAAAGCCUGAUCCAGCCAUGCCGCGUGUCUGAAGAAGGCCUUCGGGUUGUAAAGGACUUUUGUCAGGGAGGAAAUCCCUAGUGCUAAUAACACUGGGGGAUGACAGUACCUGAAGAAUAAGCACCGGCUAACUACGUGCCAGCCGCCGCCGUAA